rnacentral:rRNA from 1 species
UGGGGGACAACAUCUCGAAAGGGAUGCUAAUACCGCAUACGUCCUACGGGAGAAAGCAGGGGAUCACUUGUGACCUUGCGCUAAUAGAUGAGCCUAAGUCGGAUUAGCUAGUUGGUGGGGUAAAGGCCUACCAAGGCGACGAUCUGUAGCGGGUCUGAGAGGAUGAUCCGCCACACUGGGACUGAGACACGGCCCAGACUCCUACGGGAGGCAGCAGUGGGGAAUAUUGGACAAUGGGGGGAACCCUGAUCCAGCCAUGCCGCGUGUGUGAAGAAGGCCUUAUGGUUGUAAAGCACUUUAAGCGAGGAGGAGGCUCUUUUGGUUAAUACCCAAGAUGAGUGGACGUUACUCGCAGAAUAAGCACCGGCUAACUCUGUGCCAGCAGCCGCGGUAAUACAGAGGGUGCAAGCGUUAAUCGGAUUUACUGGGCGUAAAGCGCGCGUAGGCGGCCAAUUAAGUCAAAUGUGAAAUCCCCGAGCUUAACUUGGGAAUUGCAUUCGAUACUGGUUGGCUAGAGUGUGGGAGAGGAUGGUAGAAUUCCAGGUGUAGCGGUGAAAUGCGUAGAGAUCUGGAGGAAUACCGAUGGCGAAGGCAGCCAUCUGGCCUAACACUGACGCUGAGGUGCGAAAGCAUGGGGAGCAAACAGGAUUAGAUACCCUGGUAGUCCAUGCCGUAAACGAUGUCUACUAGCCGUUGGGGCCUUUGAGGCUUUAGUGGCGCAGCUAACGCGAUAAGUAGACCGCCUGGGGAGUACGGUCGCAAGACUAAAACUCAAAUGAAUUGACGGGGGCCCGCACAAGCGGUGGAGCAUGUGGUUUAAUUCGAUGCAACGCGAAGAACCUUACCUGGCCUUGACAUAGUAGAAACUUUCCAGA